rnacentral:lncRNA from 1 species
AAAACCUAAAAAGCUCUAAGGGUCCUGCGCCGCUUCGGCGAAUCGCCCCUCUCCAGGAACCUCCGAUUCCCACUUCCACUCCGAUAACUGCGGAGAGAGCAGGAAUCUUGUUUCCAGGUACGCUCCUCUUCUCUCUGAUUUCCCCCUUUUUCUUUUCUUAUUUUGUAUAUGCUUCUAUGUAUAUGGCUAAUGGCAAAGCAGCAAAAAAAAGCAAUCGGAAAAGAAAAUGGAACCGAAUCCAAAAAAAAGGAAAAAGAGAAACUUUUUCUUUUGUAUUGAUUUUUGUUGAUACAGUAUGCAUUGUGUGUGUGUUCUCCCCCCCCCCCCACUUUUACAAAAGUUUCGGCCUUUUUUUAUAGGCCGAGAAAAAUGAAAAAUGAAAAAAAAAUACAAAAUCCCCCCUUUUUUUUCAUUGUCUCUGUUGCUGUUUUUUGUGCGUGGUUGUUUGCUUGUGCUCUUUGUAUGUUACAGGUGUACGGUCGUACGGAGACGCGGGCGCGCGCGAACGGAGGCUCGCAUGAGUGCAGAGGCUUGGCACAUGCAGGUGAGAGGAGCUGCUGUGAUGCUGGGGCUACGUGGGAAGGCUGGAGGCGCGCUUGUGGGGAAACAGCGCUAAGGGCUUCUAGGGUUCCUUGCCUCUGAUUUUUGUUUUGGGCUGCAUGGUGAUUGGGCUAAGGUUUAAUGGGUAAUUCGGGUUAGGGUAUUUUAUUUCUAUUUGUCAUUAGGUUUCAGGUAAAUUUUAGACCAAAUUUUGUAGUCUGGACUAUACUAAUUGGAUCUUUAUUUAUGUGAUAUUUUUUUAUAUCUGGACUUUAAUAAUUGGGUUUGGGCCAAGUAAAAAUGGGCUCUUACAGUAAUGAUAAAUCUUGCGCUAUACUUUAUAUAUAAAAUUCCAGGUGAAAAUUAAAAGCAAAUUUUUG